AGAGUUUGAUCCUGGCUCAGGAUGAACGCUGGCGGCGUGCUUAACACAUGCAAGUCGAACGAAGCACUUUAUUUGAUUUCUUCGGAAUGAAGAUUUUGUGACUGAGUGGCGGACGGGUGAGUAACGCGUGGGUAACCUGCCUCAUACAGGGGGAUAACAGUUGGAAACGACUGCUAAUACCGCAUAAGCGCACAGGGUCGCAUGACCUGGUGUGAAAAACUCCGGUGGUAUGAGAUGGACCCGCGUCUGAUUAGCCAGUUGGUGGGGUAACGGCCUACCAAAGCGACGAUCAGUAGCCGACCUGAGAGGGUGACCGGCCACAUUGGGACUGAGACACGGCCCAAACUCCUACGGGAGGCAGCAGUGGGGAAUAUUGCACAAUGGGGGAAACCCUGAUGCAGCGACGCCGCGUGAGCGAAGAAGUAUUUCGGUAUGUAAAGCUCUAUCAGCAGGGAAGAAGAAAUGACGGUACCUGACUAAGAAGCACCGGCUAAAUACGUGCCAGCAGCCGCGGUAAUACGUAUGGUGCAAGCGUUAUCCGGAUUUACUGGGUGUAAAGGGAGCGCAGGCGGUACGGCAAGUCUGAUGUGAAAGCCCGGGGCUCAACCCCGGUACUGCAUUGGAAACUGUCGGACUAGAGUGUCGGAGGGGUAAGUGGAAUUCCUAGUGUAGCGGUGAAAUGCGUAGAUAUUAGGAGGAACACCAGUGGCGAAGGCGGCUUACUGGACGAUUACUGACGCUGAGGCUCGAAAGCGUGGGGAGCAAACAGGAUUAGAUACCCUGGUAGUCCACGCCGUAAACGAUGAUACUAGGUGUCGGGGAGCAU
rnacentral:rRNA from 1 species